rnacentral:rRNA from 1 species
CCUACGGGUGGCAGCAGUCGAGAAUCAUUCACAAUGGGGGAAACCCUGAUGGUGCGACGCCGCGUGGGGGAAUGAAGGUCUUCGGAUUGUAAACCCCUGUCAUGUGGGAGCAAAUUAAAAAGAUAGUACCACAAGAGGAAGAGACGGCUAACUCUGUGCCAGCAGCCGCGGUAAUACAGAGGUCUCAAGCGUUGUUCGGAAUCACUGGGCGUAAAGGGUGCGUAGGCUGUUUCGUAAGUCGUGUGUGAAAGGCGCGGGCUCAACCCGCGGAUGGCACAUGAUACUGCGAGACUAGAGUAAUGGAGGGGGAACCGGAAUUCGCGGUGUAGCAGUGAAAUGCGUAGAUAUCGAGAGGAACACUCGUGGCGAAGGCGGGUUCCUGGACAUUAACUGACGCUGAGGCACGAAGGCCAGGGGAGCGAAAGGGAUUAGAUACCCCAGUAGUC